CAGAUAUCAAUGAGUGUUUUGAGGAAACAUUCAAAUGCUCAGGUAAUAUGAAGUGUAUAAACACCAUCGGCUCAUUCGAGUGCAUCUGUCCACCUGGAUAUCAUGUAUCAAGAACAGACUCAGGAUGUGAAGACAUUAAUGAGUGUUCAGAUCCAGAUGUUUGCGGCACAAACGCUGACUGCAGAAAUCAUCCAGGCAGCUAUAGCUGCAAAUGUCACCAGGGUUACAGUAACUACAGCCACAGCCAGUCCAAAUGCAUCAAGAUAGUGCAUUUCUGUCUAGCUAAUGAGUAAGAGUCCAUGAUGCCCAUUUUCCCAGGAUUCUGAAGAAGAGAUGAGCUGUGAUCAUAUGAUGUUUGAAUGUUUCCUCUUUUUUCUUCUCAGAUAUAAUUCUGAAAGUAUUACGCAUUUUGUUUUGUAGUUGUUCAUGAAAACAGAAGGUGUUAAACUCUGUUCAUUUAAUUUAUAAUGUGCUUUUUUGCUAUGAAACAUCUUACAAUAUAUUGCCAAAGCAUGUUUACAGUGAAUCUUGAACAGAUGAGUACAAAUUAUGAAAAUCAAA